rnacentral:rRNA from 1 species
GUCCAGGCCCUAMGGGGCGCAGCAGUCGCGAAACCUCCGCAAUGCACUCAAGUGUGACGGGGCUAUCUCGAGUGCCAYCYGMUGAAGRUGGCUUUUCCUUGGUCUUCAWAGCCKUGGGAAUAAGRAGAGGGCAAGACUGGUGUCAGCCGCCGCGGUAAYACCAGCUCUYCGAGUGGUGGGGAUGAUUAUUGGGCCUAAAGCGUCCGUAGCCGGCYGAGYAAGUCUCCUGUUAAAUCCAGCGWCUCAAUCGUUGGAUUGCGGGAGAUACUGYUCGGCUAGGGRGCGGGAGAGGUCAACGGUAUUUUUGGGGUAGGGGYGAAAUCCUAUAAUCCCSGGAGGACCACCAGUGGCGAAGGCUGUUGACUAGAACRCGYCCGACGGUSAGGGACGAAAGCUGGGGGAGCGAACCGGAUUAGAUACCCGGGUAGUCCCAGCCUGUAAACGAUGCAUGCUAGGUGUUGGGWUGGCCACGCGCCACUCCAGUGCCGCAGGGAAGCCGUUAAGCCUGCCGCCUGGGAAGUACGAUCGCAAGAUUGAAACUUAA